GGGAUCUGAGCAACUAUCACCUAAUGGACCUGGGCCACCCGCACCACUCCAUCCGCUGCAUGGCUGUUGUGUACGACCGCGUGUGGUGUGGCUACAAGAACAAGGUGCACGUCAUCCAGCCCAAGACCAUGCAGAUAGAGAAGUCAUUUGACGCCCACCCACGGCGGGAGAGCCAGGUGCGGCAGCUGGCGUGGAUCGGCGAUGGCGUAUGGGUGUCCAUCCGCCUGGACUCCACCCUGCGGCUCUACCACGCACACACGCACCAGCAUCUACAGGACGUGGACAUUGAGCCCUAUGUCAGCAAGAUGCUAGGUGAGGGGCCACGCCAGGUGGGGCGGUGGGGGGCUCAAGGCCAGCCACCCUGACCGCUCUCCCCCACAGGCACUGGCAAGCUGGGUUUCUCCUUCGUACGCAUCACGGCCCUGCUUGUCGCGGGCAGCCGGCUCUGGGUGGGCACCGGCAACGGAGUGGUCAUCUCCAUCCCCCUGACAGAGAGUGAGUGGCCUGCACCCCUGCAGGGGCAGUGGUGCUGCCAGAGGUGUACGUGGGUUCACGGGGUGGCUCUGCAGGGCCACCUGGGAGGGUGCCUUGCUGCCCCUACGCUGACCGCUCUCCUCUUCUCCCAUGCUCCUCCCAUGUCCCCAGCUGUGGUCCUGCACCGAGGCCAGCUCUUGGGGCUCCGAGCCAAUAAGACAUCCCCCACCUCUGGGGAGGGCGCCCGUCCCGGGGGCAUCAUCCACGUGUAUGGCGAUGACAGCAGUGACAGGGCGGCCAGCAGCUUCAUCCCCUACUGCUCCAUGGCCCAGGCCCAGCUAUGCUUCCAUGGGCACCGCGAUGCCGUGAAGUUCUUUGUCUCGGUGCCAGGGAACGUGCUGGCCACCCUGAAUGGGAGCGUGCUGGACAGCCCAGCCGAGGGCCCUGGGCCAGCUGCCCCUGCCU
rnacentral:sRNA from 1 species